rnacentral:lncRNA from 1 species
UAACCUUUGAAACAUGAGAAGAAACAUCUCGGAUUCCUCGUUUGCCACACACAGAGAUCAAAUCAAAUCUUAUUAUAACUCUAUUUACCUAGGAAGAUCAUAGGACAGAAUGCUCCAUACCUUCACACAGAUUUCUUUCCCUCUAAAGCUUGUCCACCAUAGCAGCAGUUGGAAUGGAGUUGAACUCUGCCUUAAGUUGGACUAACAUGAUGGUCUAGGAAAGGAUUCCUUAAUGUGUUGUAUCAAUGUUUGCUUUUAUGAAGAAGUCAGUGUAUUGUUCUUCCUCCCAUUAAUAUCUGGCUCUUCUCAACUAUAAGUACCAAGUCACCAUGUCUGAAACCUUAGUCCUGAUAUCGCCAGCUUAUAGAAAAACCAGUAGGCAGAAUAAGUAUGGCUACUCAGAAGUCCUACAAACUCAUAUUCCUGAAAAGUGACCUUACCAAAUAAAUUGACCUUGCCAAAAAUAUAAGUCGGCCUUAAUGUUGAUAAUUAUUUAACAACCUGAAAUACAAAUAAGGCCUUACGAAUGAAGAAUAUACAAUCAUAUUGAAAAAAGACAACUGAGACCAACUCUGAUGGGCGUAUACAUCAUGAUAAGUGUGCAGAAUUGUAAAGUGGAGUAGUGAAUUGUUGUACUUCAUUAUACAUCAUGAUAUGUCCUCCUUUUGACAAGGUUUUAAUUAUCAAGGGAUUUAACAUGUAUGAAAUGCAUUAGUUGUGUGCUUUUUUCAAUGCAUUUUGUUAUUUUAUUAGCUGUAAUAAAUCUGGUUUAAACAAAGCAUUGACACUCGGUUGGUUAUGUACCUUUAGAUAUCCGAUUCUCAUAUAUGCACCAACAUCCUUACUAACCAGACUAAUAAUAUUUCAUAAAUAUUAUAAGGGCAAAGCAGCAAUUAUCCCACAAAAGGAAAGAAACACAAAACAAUACACAAUAUUUUUUUGUACUUACCUUAUGGACCAAAAAGUCAAUUGAAGGGUGCUUGAAAUG